CACCUCAUAAACUUCAUCAAAUUCAAUUUUAUAGACAUUAGCUCCUUCACCAAGGAACUCCUUUUCCAAAAAGACUAUCCGACUGCUGACAAACAUCAUUUAUUCUACAGCGUGGUAGAAGUAGUACCCUUUAAUUUUCUUUGGGUAUCCUAUAAAUAAGUAUCUAUCGGACUUCGAUCCAAGCUUAUCUGUCUUUAAAUGCUUGUCAUAAGCUGGACACCCC
rnacentral:lncRNA from 1 species